GACGAACGCUGGCGGCGCGCUUAACACAUGCAAGUCGAGCGAUAACCGAGGCUUCGGCCUCGGGGACAGCGGCGAACGGGUGAGUAACACGUGGGUAAUCUGCCCUCGACACCGGAAUAGCCCGGGGAAACCCGGAUUAAUGCCGGAUGGCCCGCCCGCCUUUCGAGGCGGUCGGAAAAGGUAGCUUUGGCCUCCGGUCGAGGAUGAGCCCGCGGCGGAUUAGCUUGUUGGCGGGGUAACGGCCCACCAAGGCGACGAUCCGUAGCUGGUCUGAGAGGACGAUCAGCCACACUGGGACUGAGACACGGCCCAGACUCCUACGGGAGGCAGCAGUGGGGAAUCUUGCGCAAUGGGCGAAAGCCUGACGCAGCGACGCCGCGUGCGGGAAGAAGGCCUUAGGGUUGUAAACCGCUUUCAGGAGGGACGAAGCCACUCGGGUUAAUAGCCCAGAGGGUGACGGUACCUCCAGAAGAAGCCCCGGCUAACUACGUGCCAGCCGCCGCGGUAAAAC
rnacentral:rRNA from 1 species